ensembl:lncRNA
CCCACACCCCCCGCCUCUCCUAGCCCUCCCCUCGAUAACCCAAAUACCUCCUGACAGGUCUCUGUCAGUCCUCCAGAUACAGCAAGUGUUUCAUUGGAGUGGUCAGCUCAGUGUCUCUAAUCCCCGCAGCGAGUGGGAGAAGCUAACGUAGCUUACUCUGUGAUCCUGGAUUACUGCGGGCUAUAGGCAUUGCAGACCUGACCCCCCCCUCCCUCUCCUCUAGCACAGUGCCCUGUCACUCUGCCGGUCAGCCUUCCCUGGUAAAUCACCCGUGGACAGCAAAGAGAUGCCGCUGAGCUCGCCCAUCGAGCAGACCUCGGUGAAACUAUAGAGAGGAUUCAAGGCCGCGUUGCUAGAUUCAUCGUACAGGUGCGAAAAGUGGGAAAUUUAAAAGCAAGUAAGCCUGGUUCCCUUUAGCUGGCUGAACUGAGCCUUAAGCCCCAAAUCAUAGAUAACAGGUAUCGCAAUGGUCACUAACUUCCAUUGUUAAUUAAUGUUUAAAAAAACAUUAAAGAGAAAUGCAACACUAUUGCUGCAAAAAGGGCAGGAGGGGCGCUAAUAGUGUAGAUUUGUACAAUAUGUCAUGUACCGCACCUAUUGCACCUACUUGAAUAAAUCAAAGGGAUAUCAAGCUUAUUUAUUGGGAACACUGUUAAUAGUAGGUGCAAUAUACCAUCAGUUUUACAUGGCAGAAUGUGAACCUUGUGUCAUCUAUAUCAGUCAUACAUUUAACUAUUAGUUUUUGCGACCUGUGGUUUCAUAGAACACAUUCCUUUUAUCCGCAUGGGCAAUUGGAGAGCGAAACCAACUGUGUGAAUAAAAUAACUCAUUUAUCUUGCAUGGACUAUUCUGCAUUCGCUAAUAUUAACUAAUGUUACAGAAUGCCGAAAAACAACAUAACACAUGCGGUUGGUCGUGACGUAAUGUUUCAUAAUCUGUCAGCUGAGGAUACAAAUUGAAAGCAAUUAACAAAGUGUCCUUUGUAAAUGGAGCUCUGAUCAUUAGCUUAAAGGGUGUUUUUCUGGCUCUUUGGUCCUCGGUAAGGUGCGACCAUGCAAUCAUUUUACAAAAGUGUAUGCACCCAGCGUGUAUGGUGAAGGCCAGAUAUUUUAUCGAGGUGUGUUUCCAGUUGAUAGAAGACAGCGGGAUUCUCUUCAACAAAAUAGGGUUGGGUUAUAUAAUUGUUUCAUAUAAUCCAUGUUAGUGCAACACAAAGCGAAUCAUUCUCCCCAGCCAGCAUGGAUUAUAGGGUGGACAGUUUUUUUUCUCUAAUAUUUCUGGGCACACCGUUGUGUGUUUGCCCCAUUUCCACAUGCAAAACACUAAAACAGGAUUUGCAUGCGUACAAGGUCGUGUGUAAUGAGUUAAGGUGUUACCUUCUUCGAUCAACCAUCUGAUGCUGCAAACAUGCUUUCGGCUUUUUGGGAUUUACCCCCCCCCCCCCCUCCUAUGAUGAUGCCAUAAAUCUGUGAAGUGCCUUCUUUUCACAGGCAAUGAAAGGGUUGAUUUAUGCCAACAUAAUUGCCAACAGCGUAAACUACACAAAGAUCACUAAAUCUUGCAUGGAACCAUUAACCAUCUCAUUCAUGCAUUCAUGCCUCCACACUAAUUCCGCUUCUUAUUCACAGGAGAUAAGAUGAACACGAAACUGUCUGCUGGUAUGAGCUUUCAGUGCACCAAUCUUUUGACAUGAACCAUACACACAUCGUGCAUGCUAUCAGUAUUCAAUUUGGUUUGAAAUGAAGCGCCUGGCCUCAGCUGUUUGUUUUGGACAAAGCUCACAGCCUUUUAAGAAUGGCCAAAGCUUUGAAUCUCUGCCUCUCCAAACAAAAUCUCCAGAACGAACUUUCAAAUCAAUAUAUAUAUAUAAAUAUAUAUGUGUGUUUGAAGAAUAUUGCCGAUAGUGUCUUUUAAAACUAUCCCUGCUGUAAUUACAGAGCACAUUAAAUGAUUUCUCCUUCAAAGAAAGUUCAACAUUUUGGUCGAUACAUUUAAUCCCUUUCCUUCCGACAGUGUAAUGUUUCUUAUUUUAUUGACAAGGAGAAAGAGAAAAAUAAUAAAAGUGAUAGCUUGUGAGAGUCACGGUGCACGGCAGUCUGUUCCCGCGGUUCCUGUGAGUGUGUAUCUGUGUAUUGUGGUGGAACAUUAUGGGGGAGUGUUGUUUUUCUGUUUGUUGUUUGAGAGCUGAAAGAAAAGGGAGACAGAAAAAAAAUAAAAAUGAAGAAAAUGGAAGAAAUAAAAAAAGGGGUAAUGCUUUAACCAUUGCUUUAAUUCUUGCGAACAGUAUUUCUAUACACAAUUACAAUUGUAUUUUCCCUAAUUUAGGUAAGGCUAAAAAAAAUAUAAUAAGAUAGUUAAUAUAAUACCUCAUGCAGAGAGGAAAUACUUUUCAAAAACAUCGGCAACUGAAACAAAAAAAUUCACAAAUUAGGGCAAACGUAAGACGUACCAAAAGGAAAUUACCUAAUUAUGGACGGAUGUGUACUGAGACCAGAUAUUACGAGAAGUUAGUAUCUGGGGAGGUUGUGCUUCAUUCCCAGGGGUCUCAGCACUGCAUUUCACAUCACUACGAUGGUAACAGAUUGCUCUUUAUAAAGUGUGGAUGCUUGGAGUGUAGAUGUUUCAACUGUGACAUUUAUACAUCUGGCAUUUCCUAAAGAUAUUAAUCAUUUUAUACCUCGGAAUAAAAUUACCAAAACAAACUGCCCGCUUUAAAUACAUUCACAGCAAAAAAAGGUUAGCACUUGUCAUUUUUUUGAAAAAAAGUUGUUUGAAUAUUUGCCCCUAAGCCACGCUUGUCUUGCCCAUUCAGCGAGGCAGACUAAUGUUUUUCCCAUCCUGUUACAAAAGCCUAGCGCAGAAAGAAAAUUAAUCCAAAAUGUCAAAGUAUCACUUUCAUAGAGAGAACCUUUGGAGGAAACCUGCUCCCAGAAGCCAUUAAGGCAUGUCCGUGUGCAAUUCAUCCUUCCUUGAUAGACCUCUUUACAGGACGACAAACUUCGUAGAUGGCUCACCGCUCCCUAAAUUUGGAUCAGCAAGCCUAAUAUUUCGCUGAUUGCUUUUAUUUGGGGAGAAAGGCCUGUAAACAGAGUGCUGUGCUUUUUGCCGGCGGCACUUUACCACCCACUUGAAUCAUCUGUUCCCAUCUGUGAGCCUCAUAUUAUAGGACAAACCUGUGUGACUGCUCCACAUGGGUGUAUAUAUAUACACACCAGAGAGAACUGAUGGCGGAAUAUCACAUGUGCUUCCCAGCAUCGGAGGGGUAGGUUUCCAUUUCUAGACUGGAAAAUGCUCUGGGAAUAAAAGUAGGUGCCCGAGCUGCAGUUUCCAUUUGGCUACCUCAACCUGAAACCGGUGCUGUUAUUCCAACAGCUUCGGCAGCACAUUUGGCAUGAAACAGAAAAAAUGCAUUGUAAAAAAAGCAAAUGCAUGUUUGAAAAAGAAAAUUCACACAUGAAGGAGAGAACUGGACAUGUGCAGACACUUAUUUUCCCAUCAUGUCAUGAGGCUGUAAAGUGCACUGCGGCUAAAGAUAUACCGUUAAUUUAUCCCCCACGACAUUGACUUUUAUUUCUUUGGGCGUCAUGUACACUUUUACGGUACCUGAGCUGCCCUGUAGAAAAAUACAGACAAAGCUUUAAUGAUCUCAAAACAUCUGCACAUGAAUGUUCAGUCAAAGCGUUUGUGUAAAAACAAAUUCCUUCUCUUGCACCUUUAUACACCGCCCGUUCCCUUUCCUUCGUGACUCCUCACUUGUUUCUUCAAGGAGUGUUAGAAGUCAUUUGGUGAAAUUGCAUCUUAAACAGCAGAUUUCUGCACAGUUUUUUUUUAAAUUUAUGAUUUUACUGAAGGUUUUUUGUUGAAUCGAGCCAAUAGAAAUGAGUGUAAAAAAUGUAUAUUUAAGUAUAUAAAGCCAAGGAUAUUUCUGUGGUUAUGAUAUGUAUAGUAUGAAUUAGAACAGCUUUAUACUAAUCUUAUCUUGGGCACAGUGAGCAGUACCUGCUCUUCCUCACUCACUUCAAUCAUUUAUUUUCCCUUUCUCUCAGGUCUCUUCAUCUUGUCCUGCAUCUCUUCCAUUCCCAAAGCUUAGCUUUGAUUGACAGUUGUAUUGUUCGGUUCUUAGUGACGAAAAUUAAUACAUUUGAAUGAAUACAUACUAACUCGGAUCGCUGGCCACUGUUUGAUGUAGCUUGACCACAUAGCACGUAUUGUUCAGAUAAUGCCCGUAUGGUGAUGAAUGGCAUUCAGCUACAAGCAUUUUCUUUUUGCAUCAUAGCUGAGAAUUGUCGUUUCAUUAGCUAAUCUUAUUUUUUGCAUACCCUUCAUGUAUGUACAUAUGAACUGGGUCCAUCUGCUCAUAAUCUACUGUUGUUCCUACACCACCACAACACAAAAAUAAAUGCCGGACUAUGAGAGGGUCUUUUGCAUUUUGGAAUUUUUAUCGCUUUAAACGUUGCCCCAUUUUCCCUCCCGCUUGGUUGGCAGAAUUUUCUUUCCCAGUUUAUAAAAAAAAACCUCUUGGUUUGUGAUGCUUGAAAUAUUUGGCCAUUCAAUAAUGUGAGAUACUGUUGUGUUACCUUAUGGGAAUAAGCGGAUCCAGACAAAGGAUUACUUGGCCUCUGGAACUAUUCAUGUCCCAUUGGGCCACAACCACUGACUUUACAAACAUUAAUCUCACUUGUAACUCAACUCAAGGGAGUGUGAUGCAAAAUUUGAGAGAAAUGUUCUAUCCAAACAUUGUUAUUGAUUUUUUCCAUUCUUUUCUAUCCAACAGCUGUAAGGAUUUUGUGUCCGGUCUGCCAUAUGAGGCAGGCUCGUCCUUGCGAUACUUUCAAAGUCCAGUGCUUAUAUUUCAGAGUAAUUCCGCAAUUGGGUUCAUACAUACAGCAAAACAUUCAGCUAUUGGCUAGGUCCUUGGGUAUAUCACCCCCCUUAACUGUGUAACAAGUCACACUGCCGACCCCAAAGUUCACCCCGAGAAGAGGUAGGGAGACACACCUGAAGUGGAUGGGCUGUUCAUUCAUAUAGCCUCAGCAGCCCCGCCCCGUGAUCAACCUGACAGGAUAAUUAAUCACAGCUUGGUGACACACAGUGGGAGGGGGAGCCUAGAUGGAAAGCCACCUGAUGUAGAACACCCCAAAAACAUGGAGAUGGAAGUGAGCGCAUCUGCAAAGGGAGAAGUGAGCUAUACUGGCCCACAUUUAAAUGAACCUGGAAGAAUAUACUGGCAAGAAAUGCAGUACUUUAUUAUCACAAAAAUAAAUGUGUAGCUGUAGCUCAACUAUCUUUCACACACGGACACCUCUUCUUCACUGCAAGGUCACAGCGCAGGACAAACAAAGACGCACUACCAAACUUUAAUUUUCCCUUUCCAGACAGUCUCUCUUCCCAAAAUGUAUUAGCAAAAUCAAGAGCUGUAAAAUAGCUUACAGCAGGCAUCGAGGCAUGUUUAUUGUUGAUAGGCACUGCCAAGCACUACAGGAAGAUAUAUUAUGAGCCUGUCAAAACACUCACACUUCAUAGUCCCAGACUAUGUCCACAAGCGUGGGUGACUUUAACAUCCAAUGCCUGGCAAUCGUUGAAUGAAGAGGUGAGGACACUGGGUGUGUUUACACUAGAUGUGACCUCUGGGGAUGAACCACUGGAGUGGAUGAUCUUUUUCAGGGAUUUAUUUUUCCCACGCUGUGUGGUUCUUCGGAAUAGGACACAAAUAAUGAAAUAUGAAGAUUUUUAAAAAUAUAUUCUGCGUGUAUUCCAAGACAUCUUAGUUGGGGCAGUUAUAGGUUACAAAGAUAGAUAUUCAUUUCUAUCCUGAGUAAGAGCACUAAUUUAGGUGCAACAAACUCGGACGGCAGCUACCGUUUUGGAAUCUACGUCUCAUGUUACCACAGACUAAUGCAUCUGUGGGGUCGAUAAUUUGAUCCAAAGUUGCACAGUGAAGCAUGUGGCUCUUUUACAAAAGAAAUAUACGUUUCUCUCAAAAAAGUAAUCUUUUAGGACUAAUUGGAGACUGUGUAGGUUAACCAAGAACAUGAAAACAUAAAAAUGACUCAGAUGUGUUUAUAAAGAAUUUUUUUAUAUAUAUAUACAGUAUGUGCCUGACAUCUUGCUCUGAGUAUCCGAGAAUUGCUCAUUAUUUUUCACAGCUAGAUUUUCCGUUACACGGUGUAUUUUUAACACUAAUUAUUGUGCAUUUUAUUGUUCUUUUAUGUUUUAUAUUCGAAUAAACUGUGUCCUUCAAUUUCAAAUAUUGGGGAGGGAAAUUUUACAUUCAAUGGACAGUUGGACAGGAACCGUAUUUCCCUACGCGUCUGGGGCUUGUGCACCUAAUUCCAUAUUUUUCAGAACUGUAACUGCAAAAUAAAUGUAGUUUCCAUAAAGGCAUCUCUUAGGGUUGUGUCAAUAAUUCAUCAUGGUGGCCCUGUUGUUGGACAAACAUAUCUAAUCUAAUCAUGGCAUUUUCGUAUCCUUGUUUAGAACCGAACCGAACAGCCUUAACUGUGAGGAUGCAUAUUGACGUCCUUCAUGUGAGGUGCAAGGAAAUAGGAAAACUUGACUAGCGGUCUUUGAAUAAAUAUUAAGAAAUCUAGUUUGCUGCCUAUGCAUAUGCAAGCAAAAGAGGCAACACUGCAAGAACCUCAUUUGAACACAUGCAUAAUUGAAGCGAGGCCUCUCUUUUCAUGAGCUGCCGUUGGUUCUGCAGUGCAGAAGGAAGCCCGGCAGCACCAACACAGCUGUCUGUCUCAGGUGGAUUUGUUUUCCUUUUUUUUGUGUGGUGACCUCACCGACUCAUCAAAAGCUCAGAAUAGCGACUUCCACACACAGUAGCACUGAGAUGUUGUUUGAAAAGUCUUCUUUAGAAAUAGUGUCUGUAUCGCAAAAUCCCCAAAGCAAUAAAGUCUAUUAUGAUGCAUUGCUCCAUUGCAAAUACCAGAUCUAAUUAAACAGUUGACAUCACCAGUGGCAAACUAAUUUGCAUUUUUGGCUAUACAAUAAUCAUAACGCUGCAAAGAUUUAAUUUCCAAUGAUAACACUGCAUGACAUUGCCUGAGGAGACUGAUGUUGAGGAAUGGACGCUUGCAUGCUGAAGACACUGCUGAUGCUUUUAUGCGGCUGAUGUUAGCUUUGGGAAAAAUGCUCUGUCAUAAAAUCUGGUAAAGGACAGUAUACUCUGAUCCAACAGCAAUAUAUCAAAUGGUGCGUCACAAGGCAAGUGCUGGCUGAUAAUCCAAAUUGACAAAUGGUAACGACCUUGUCAUUUUUUCAGUGAUACGUACCUAACUGCGCUAGGCGUUGUAGAUACAGUUAAGUCUCGCAGGCUAUUUAGGUUGCUAAGUGCUGCUACAUGAUGACCAUAACUGUCAUUACAAUCCCACUCAUGUCGUUCUUGACACCAUUGAUUCCACAAGUCUCUGUUUAGCCAGCAGCUUUGGGGAAAACAUGAACCUUUCUCUUUUUUAAUCAAUGUCUGUCUUGUCAGUCAGAGCUGUUAAAUGUGGCCCAGGGAAGGGAAGUUUGGGGUCCCCUGUGUUGCCCCCACGACCCAACCCUAGAUAAAGAUGAGAUGGAGAUGUCUGUCUUGUGUAUAGCUACCUGUUGUACCUCAGUGUCUUCCAAAAUAGGAUUAGGAUUAGUUUUCUGGCAAAGGUUGUAUUUCAAAUUGAAGGCACGUCAUAGGUCAUGAUCAGCCUCAGUAGUAGGUUUUAUUGAGAGUAAGGCGAUUUCCGCUCCUGAUGCGCUGAGUCAUUAGUGCUUGUUCUCAUUGUGGUGAACUGUUCUGGAUACCCAGAGCUACAUGAAUUUUCCAGUUGUAGCCAACAGACAAAUUAACAUGGUAAUUUAGAUUUCGGGAGAUAUUUUCAUUAAUUCAAACAUACAAAUAACUUGUAUUCAGUGUGUGUGCAUGAUUUGUGUCAUUUUAAUUUAAUAGUCAUUUAUGCCCUGUGAAAACAGACCACGAUCUAUGGCCACCAGAAACACAGCUCCCAGAACAGUAAGGUUGGACCUAAGUAUUUACUAAAAGAGUGAGCAUUACCGAUCGUGCUUUUAUAAUUAUGUCCUUCAACUGGCUGACUUUUGACAACUUGUAGCUGGGUGGUACUCUUCUGAAUGUUGUACUUGACCCCGGAGGCACAUUCAUUAUUAAAAUGUUUCAAAACACCAGGGAAACAUCUCUACUGUGAGCGAUAAAGCCCUGACAUGUAUGCACAAGUUUCAAUUUUAAAAAAGAAUAUUUAAUGUGGAGUUAUAUAUUAUUUAUUUCUGUAAACAAGUGUUUGAUGGAAAAGUCCAUCUUCAAGUGCUGGUCUACCCUCCUAAAAAUAUAUCUAAAGUUGUGAAAAAACUAGGGCUGACAAAAUUAACAUGUUAAUCUUUUGCGAUUAAUGUAGCCGAGCGAUACAAUAUUUGAAAGCGGUUAACGCAACUUUAUUUACUUCCAGCACACACCAGAAGUAAACAAAAUCGACCCCGGAAACAAAACCGACGCUAGCUGCAGUCAGUUAGACAGGAAAGACCGAGACGGUAGUUGAAGAUGGACAGCGUUUCGCAUUGGAAGUAAAACAAACAGUCGCUAAUGGAAUUCUGCCCUAGAGAUGAUCACAUGUGUGUAGUUCUUUGUUUCCAGUCACGGUCAGCCGGGAAGAGGCCCCCCGGGGAAGACCCAGGACUAGGUGAAGAAAUGAUAUCCCUAGACUGGCCUGGGGACACCAGUCAGAGCUGGUAGAUGUGGUCCGGGAAAGGGGAGUUUAGGGGCUGUUGGAACUGUUGCCCCCGCGACCCGACACAUGCAUUUAAAAGUGAUACUUAAAGUGAUUACUUGUAAGAUGUAUUCUUUAAAAGAAAAACUAUCUGCUAUCUAUUGACAGUCCUAGAAAAAAACAUUGUUUAGUAUUUAUAUCACGUCUCAAAAUUCCUUUUAAUACAUUCAUCUUGCAGCAUAUUCUUGCUACUUAAAAUGCCUCGGUCUAAUUAAUGUAAAUUUCCUCUAUCUGAAGCAGUGCUGCCAGAAAGUUGAAAAAGUCAGCUUAGUUAAGAUACAAUCAUCUUGCUGUAGGCUACAUGCGUAGGAAGCUCUCUAAACACAGUUUCAAUGCGUGAGAGAAUCUCUUUGAAAACAUUUCAUGUGUAAUGAGUACCAUUCUGUAUGCUAAUAACUUGCUCUGGAAAUUGGCCCAAGUGUGGAAUAAACAACACCAGUGUGAACAAAUGGUAGUGUUCAGGAAUGCGAAAUAUUAGAAUGCACAGAACAUUGAUUUGAGUCAGAAAACAUCAUACAGUACAUGCAAUAUUGCAUCAACAAGGAAUGCGAUGAGUAUAUGAGGAAAAUUAUGAACUUUUUUACGUUUGUCCUGCAGCAGCGGUUUUUAGUGAAAGGGCUCUAUUAAAUCCACUCUAAACCUAGACAGAGUUAUCACCUAGCUGGUGAAGAACAUUUUACAAGUGAACACUAAUACUGUGUCCUAAUAGGUAUGGGGCUGCCACCAUAGCAUAAAAACAAGGUUGACUUUUGAAUGCAUUGCUGCUGCAGGACAUAAAACCCCCGCAAGGAACUUUGUCUUAUCUCUCUUAUGGUGAAACAGCCCUGAGUUCUGAUUGGUCAAGCCACAGACACCACAGGGGUCCCUCUGCUGUGGACUGUGAGGUCCACGUCUUCAAGCUUUCUAUCCAAACUGGCCCUUGCCAGUCCAAGGUUAAAAACAGUAUCUCUUCAAAUCCACUCUUUACAAACUGGCCCUGGCCUGUGCAAGGCUAAGACUACAGAAACUCUUCAAAUUCACUCUUUUCGAACCAACCCUUUCUCGGUAUCACAACUCAGACAGAGACCCAAACGCAGAUAUGGGGAAUAAGGGUUUUAAUGAAGAGGAAUUCGGGCAGGCAGUGUCGUUGUCAAAGGCAGGCAGGAGUUCGGUGCACGGGAGAUCAGGGGUACAGAGGUGGCAGGCCGUGUCGUUGUCGGAGGCAGGCAGGGGUCAGUACACGGGGGAUCUCAAGAAUCGACUGGAAACUACUGGGAUAUAACGCUGGUAAGACCUGGUGAAACACACGACGAACUGGCAACAAGAACAGGGAGAAGACACAGGUUAUAUGCCCAAGGGAUAAUUGACAAACAGGGAACACCUGGUGUGGGAGGAGACAGGGGAAAAACAGGUGAAAACGGGUGAACACAAUUAGGGCGUGACACUCGGUGUGAGGUUAAAGACAGUAUCUCUUCAAAUCAACUUUGCGUCGAUGAUAGGAUUUUGGAUUCAGGCUCUCCAAUUUUCAGAGGUUAGGCCUCUCCAACCCAACGCGUCCUGGACCAAACUUCGUUGGUGGAACCUAUAUUCUAGCUGCUCCAGAGAGGUCCAGCUCCUCUAGUCCUCACUUUCUGCUCAAGCAGCUCACCACACACACACACACACACACAGAUCUCCCCCUCCACAUGCAUUAAUUAAUGUUUAUAUUUGUUGUAUAGAUAUGAGGAUAAUGUAGAAUAGUUCCUGUUGAUUUCAAAAUGAAUUUAAUAAACCCUGUUUCACUGUGCAGUUUUCUGUGAUUUUUCUGUGCAUGUGUAUUUCGAUGCUAGUGUAAAAUCUCAAACCUUCAAUUCCUUGCUCCUAAUGAUUGAAUAUAAAUUGUGAUACUUUAUAGUUUAGUUAUUAGUCCCAUUUUAGUGUGGUGCUCAAUUAUUUAUUCAUUUUGUGAAUUACCUUAGUGAUUAUUAAUUUAAAUUUUUUAAUUUCACACUAACUAUUAACCAAACAAUGUUGCUAUGACAUGCCCAACAUGAGUCAAUUCUCUCAUGUAUAGUAGUUGGUUUUGGAAGUAGUUGAAGUCUACUUUGGUAUAAUAUUUAACACGCAAAUACACCUUUCCACAAUUACUUACAUUACAUGGAUGAUACAUAUUUUAAAUAUGGGCUAUGCAUAAUUCAGCUGAUGAAAUACAUUGUAUCCUUAUGGAUAAAAUUAGUUUUGGUCAAGUGAAAAAUGAGCAGUUGAACUGCUGACUGAUGGCAAUAUGAAGGAUUUAUCUGUAUUUGUUCUGGAUACGGCAAGCUAUCAUAAAGAGGGCUUUUAGAGUACAGCUGAUCCAUGUGGGUAAAGACAGUACAUUCCUCCACAAAUACUAGUAUAGUCUUUGUCCUGCUUUGAUAAGUCAAGCUAAGCUAUUGUCCAUGAUUUGUUGGAUGAUCUUCUCUAAAUUGUUGUAACCUCUCAUGGUAAAUUCUGCUCAUUCAGUAGUGGUAGUCCUAUUUGAAUAAUGGGUCCCCAGACAAUCUGCUUUUGGACCAACGUGUCAGUAAGAAACAUUACAAAUGAGCUCAAUGCAAAGUGCGGCAAGUACCUAAAGACUGAGGAUUGCAGGCUAGAGGAUGGAGUUACAAAUCAAUACACAGCCUGGAGAAGCUGGAAGAUCUGUGAAACAUGUAACUGGAUUCAAAGCAGCUACCCCCCCCCUUCCCUUCCUUUCCCGCCCUCCUCACCCGCAACCUCCCACGUACACUAGAAUAUUAAAUUACCAUUGUAUUCUUUUUGUAAGCGAUUCCAUUAUUUCUCAGCCUCGGAACAAUUGCGUCCAGUGAAUGCAUUCAAAGGCUCAAAUGAAGUGUAACAGGAGAUCAGAAACACUCACUGCUUGUCUCUUAGGGCUGGAGAAUGUCUCCCUGUGAUAAAACUUCAAACACAGCUCCUUCCUCUCAUAACCGCUGGACAGAGAAUGAGGAAUGCAUCUUGCAUCUCGUCUCACCUGCGACGAGGGAGUUUCUGAUCAGUCCUAAAGCUACGGUUUGAUUUUCCAGCUGUGACGGCACGCUGGUCUACGUCCUGUCCUCAGGCGCCUGUGUUUUUGAAGAAAGGGCGUAAAAGUAAUGAUGUGUUUGUUUCUCAUUGUGCCCUUUUCAACAUUUUUCUGUUCUUCUGGUCACUAAUCAUUUUACAGACACACUUUUUCUUCUCGUUUCUUACAUGGAUACAAACUGUGAAUGAAAAAUUGACUUCAUAAAACCUGGUGGGGGUGGAAGGAUUCCUCAGUGGGAUCAGUGUGCACUUCCUUGAGGUGUUAAUUGUAUUAAUUAAAAUGUAGGCUGCAUCUUAGUGGCACUCAUAUAUUAAACUAUAACGUUAUUUAUACAUAGCUCUGAAACUGGUCGUUAGGAAAGUCACAUUCCCUUACUCAAUUACUGGAGUGCAGCUUUGACUAAUAAGUAAACUAAAUGCAUACGCUUAGCCACAAGUGGCCAUUGGUCGGCCUGGGGAAACCCAUUUGGGCCUCGGGCCCAUCCAAUCACAUAACUUCAAAAAAACAUUCAAAUCUAAAUGAAUGAAAGCAAGCAGCUAAAUGUUGGACUGAGCCUGACAUAAUUUUGGUUAUUGUUCCACCGGCCCCAUGUUCAGAGACUUCAAUUCGGAGAAUUUAAGACUAAUUUAUUAAACAGGCAUGAAUCUGAAUGGUGCAACGUCUUUGGAGCUGGGACUCCAUUGUGCUGUAGGAUAAGGGUCCGGUGUCCUGAGAUCACAUAAGGCAUAUCCCCCCACGGAGUCCAGACAAUAGUGGUCUGGAUAAGGUCGCUGCAUUCCUCUGAUAUGCCGGAUUUUGCUGCUGAUUGGAGGUGUCUGGGUGGCGGAGGGUUGCAUCUGGUGCACGCUGAAAUGACAGCUGACAGCAGCAGAGAGGAGAACUCGCUACACUGCCACUUAUUAUUUGUUGUCCUCGUCUGUUGAGAGCGAAAGGUUUAGGCACAAACAGCGAGCACUAUUAGAUUUGGGAUAAAAUUAUCACGGUAUGCCAACAACACCCCCAAGAUCAACAGGCUGUCCACCCUUUACACAUCGGUCACCUUUGGCUCAUAGUUGGGUCUCAGUUGGAAGUCCUGCUCCAGAAGUGAAUAUCAACAACUACGACGUAGCGUUGAGUUUGGGCAACACGUGUAGGUUAAAAACGUACAUCCUUUCUUUUUGCCAUUAUGACUUUGGCUCACACCUGCUGUGGUGUUGUUUAUAGAGCAAUGUGUUGUCAGCCUUAGUGAUGUUAAAAGCCUGCUGUUAAUCGGAUAAAAAGCAGCAGGCGAUAUAUAUGGCUUAUUAAUGCCCGUUGCACCUGUGGUGUCCGCAGCCCAUGAACUACCCUUUUCCUUUAAAUGCAAGAGUUGUAUCAUAUUCUAUGGCAUGGUAUAAAGCAACCAUUCAUAUGUAAGGGAUUUACAUAAUUACUUUGAUUGAAAAGGGAUUGGUAUAGAAGUUGAAUCACAUAAUUGUGUGUUUAUUGCAAUUAUUAGUAGGAUUCGCUUGACAUGAUACUAUUUUCUAUGACAAAUUGCAGGGGAAAUAGUUCUUAUAUACAUCAGGAUUUUCCUUGUGUUAUGAAAUUGAACUGGUGAAGAAAUGUUGAUGGUUUGUAAAAGGAACACGAUCACAGCGUUUCCUUUCUCAGUUUCUCAUUAUGUUUUUUUAUUGUAAACGCUCCCUUUGGAGUUUAAAUUCCAGUGGCUUUUUUUCUUUCCUUUGUAUGUUAAAAUAGUAUCAUUAGUCUAUAACCGAAGAAGCAGAGUCAACAUGUUCAUGACAAGGCUGGUUCUAUAAUUAUUUUUAAUUUUAGAACAGUUUUGGGGGACAGAAAUAGGAAUACUUGGUCAGAUGGCCAAGGCUUCAAACAAUUUGGCUCCAAGUACUAGCCUCAGAGUGGGACAGGUUUUAAAGUCCUGUGCUUGUUUGACCCAACCACCACCAUGGCCACUCUCCCUUUUUGAUAUAAGCAUUAUUAUCCCACAUACCUUUCAAUGACAGUCAUUAACUGUACAACCACUCACUCUGAUAGAAAUGAGAAAAAAUGAAGACAUUCGAAAUAUACGUGGUAAGCAGAAAAAUGGUUAAGAAACGAAAAAAACUGCCGUCAUGGCUGUUUGUAGAAGCUUUGAAAAUGUGGCAGAUAUCCUUGCAACUGCGGAAGAUCGGGCAUUUGCAAAGUCUGCACAUUUGGUCUGUGGCCCUACGCGUCUAAGCACCAUAUAUAUUGGAGAACUUGUCGGUGUAAAGACGUUUCAUAAAAGCCACCAUAAGAGCUUGCUGAAGCAGUCCAGUUCUUACAGCAGCUUGGUCCUCUUCUAUCGCGGAUGAGAAGGAGAACAUGAUGCGCUGCUCUUAGUUGAUGAUGUGUAAUUAAGCAGCCUUAAUGUUAAAUGUUUAACCUAAGGCGAGUUUUGGGGGGGGAAGCACUGUGGAGGGACUGUCUCGAAAAACCUCAUCUGCAUGUGAUGGCUCUGUUGUGCUGCCGGGCUGUGGUGUAAUAACAAAUGUGGUGUUAUGGCCUCAAGCUUCACACCACCACCAUUGGAGAGGAACACUAUUCUGAUAUAGUGCUCACUGGGAAGCAUGAAUUAGUAUGUUGUUCAUUUGAAUGCAUUGUCAGUAUGUAGUAUUCAUUUUUAACGCAUGUAUUCUGAGCAAAAGCUCAAGUACAAUAUAAAUAAAAUCUUAAGUAAAAAAACUCUGAAGUAACUGAAGUAACAAUAUUGAUAUAUCUCUAUCAAAGUAUUCACUUUCGUGGUGUUGUAUUUAUACUCAUCAUGAUGUUCUUUUAUUCGCGAAGGCUCCUGAUUAGAAAAGAAAUGAAAAACUGUGCAGAGGCAAAGACAUAUUGUCUUGUGAUGCUGUGGCUCUAUAUGGAUAUCAGCAUUAGUACACAUAUUAUACUAUGUACUUUCAAAAUGGGAGAAUUUAAACAGGAUAGUGUUUGCCCAUCACUUUAAACAACAAUCAGAACAUUUCUUUUCCCUUUUACUUCUUCAUGGCAAUUCAGAAAAGGAAUUAGCAUUAGCACUACCUUUUUCCGACUUCUUUAAUUCCUUUGUAGAACUGAUUUAUGUUGAAUGUGAUUUCACUUUUACCGCUGUCUGUGGUCCCACUGUUUCCCGCCAUUUUUACGGCUCAUCCGUACGGCAGGAACAAUGGCAACCUAAAAAUAUAGCAUAGUAUUUAGAAAAAAUAUACAACUUCUAUCUGUGGCUACUGGAUACUGGCCAGGUAGCGUGUAGCAUGUUCAAAAGAGCUUUUUCACUGAAAACAACUGCCUGCUGCUGGAAACUAGAUUGAGGGAUCGAAACCAAAGACACCUGGAACAAUGAGCUGUAUGAACUGCAGAGUUGGUGAUAACUUGAUUUUGGUUAAGUCACUACGAGCGACAAUGUUCAAGAUUGUUAAUAUGUUGUGUGUAUGUUGAAUCAUAUUUUACCUACCCUCUAUCAGUACUCUGCAUGACAAAAUCACUUACGUCGAAGGAAUAGAGUAUUUUGUUUGACAGUCAGUGCAGUGUAGAAAAAACAAUACGUACUUUUGAACCAAAACUCUCUCCGGGAUGAUAAAUUCCUUCUGUGCCCCUGCGGCAACGACCGCCAUUUUCCAUCAAAUCACACACAUACACACAAACAUCCACACUAGACAACCCCAGUUGAGAACCUGGUUUUAAAAAUUCCAUUCAUUCAGGUCAAAGUGUGUAUUCAGCAUUCAGGGUAGAAACCGGAGAGGGAUUGCAUCAUCUGCUCAGACGUUCCAUGCCUCAGCCAUCACCCUCAUCCCAGAUGCCCACACUGCUGUUUUAAGAAAAGAAAGUCUUACUCGAGUUUGAACAGUUGAGCUGGAAACCUAAAUAAUACACCACCAAGUGUAUAAUUCACUGUAUCCAGCAGGCAUCUAUCCUAUUUAAGCCAGAGCUCUGGGCCUCCCAGUGCUGGACGUUAAUCGCUUAAUCUUUGCGUCACUUCCAAUGCCACUUCACUCAAUUAUUCCCAGGAUGCUCCACUUGCCAUUACAGAGUGCAAGCUAUUUUUAAUGCCGCAGCCUGCUAGCCUUUUGUGUGCAUUCUGAAGAUGUCAACAAUGGGAGUUGACGGUGAAGUAAAAAUCCAGGCUAUUGAUUCAACCUAUCUCUUUUCGCCUUUCCAAUUGCUUCUAAGGACUCGUGGCGCCUGUUAGGGUCUGGACUUGUUUAAGGAAUCCCUUAAUUCCAGACAGCAGCCAUUGUGUAAUGUAAGAAAACGAAAAAGGGUUGGCGGUUAUAAAAGAAUAAAACACAAAUAAAAGGUGGAAACUUAGCUCCUCUCAGCAAUCAUCUCAAAAGUCUCUUUUAAAUAAACUGUAAACACCAUGCACAAGAAACUGUCUCUGUUGUGAAAUCAAAAUUACAUCCCAUUAGUGUCUAAGUAGACACACCGGUGCUGUAAUGUAUGCUCACAUCACUAUCUGCACUUUGAAGACACGCAAUGUUUUCAGCAGGUAUAACCCCAGAGCACAUUCAGUAUAUCAGGACAAAUUCAUGACAGUUAUUUUGGAUGGUAAUUUUCUUUAAUCUUGUGAAUCCUGCGGUUUUCUCCAGCCUUAUCUCUUAACGGUUCAUAGCGACCUUUUGGGUUGAUAGAACACGUUCCACUUUAUUUUGAGAAAAACAAUAAUAUAAUGAACUUUUCCUGCAAAAGUAUUUGUCAAUGCAAAUUCAAUUAUUUCCAUGUGAACAACAUUUUCAGGAGACAGAGAAAGUGAAGUAUUGCUUUUCAGUGACACAAACUGCAGUUUCUGUGGGUAGCAGUGUGAGUUAUUGUUGAGCUAAAGGCUCUCGUGUAGGGCUUUGAAUUCCCCUGAUCCCUCAAACAAAGCCCUCCUUCAAAUGGGAACCAGAUCGCAGUUCAGGAUUUUCAUUAGCGCUGCUCACCAUCUUAAACCCUCCACCGUCCCCUUUGAACACGCCCUUCCAUCCUGUGCUGUGUCAGGCCUCCCUGCGGCCCUCUAAUGCCUUGGACUUUUAUUACCAGGGCUGAUGGGACAUUCAUAAAGAGACAAUCUGCCAGCAAGAUGGCAAACACGUUUUUUGCUCUUUCCCCGUGUGUUUUCUAGAGAGGAGCUUAAAGAAUUAUAGAGCUUCCGGGAUACCCUCCCUUUUCACCUGGCAUCAUCUGGCUGGGGGAAAUUGGUAGCGAACGCUCAGUGUGACAGGUUCAUUGACGGCAGCCUUUUAUAUUGGUUUUCUGCAACAGCGCCAAGUGAACAUCUGUGCAUGUCAUUUUCAAUGACCCACAUAGGGGCCACGUUACCAUUACAGGGAGCUGGCGGGAAUCAGGGUCUGUCUCCUUGGCGGUACCUGCAGAUAGCCUCUACACACUGGCCCCACACAAUGGAAGCCUCCGUAUUGCAUUCGUUGGCCAAGAUGCCUGGAUUUCUGAAGAUGAGUUUCAGGCAGCGUACUUUGCAUUGACUUGUCUCUUUUUUGUCACCCAGGUGCUUACAAACUUGACCAAGGAAACAUGAUGGAAUCAUGGAAUAUUUACAGUUUUAGGGAGCUGUGGCGUCCUGGGACAAGGCAACCGGUGAAAUGUUCCUGUAUUUUUCCCAGGCUGAACAUUUCAUUGGUGGGUUUGGAAAGUGCGAACAUGCCGCGCAGUCGAGUGCUCGCUAUCGCAGGGAGAAAAGGCAGAUUGCCUGUAUACAGAUUGACGCGGUGCUUGUCAGAGUCGUGAUGACAAACAGGCUGUAAGAGGGCGCCUCACACUCAUUUGUCAAACGCGCUCUGACAUCAAGAAUUCCUUGGCUUUUAGGACUGAUAAGAGUGGCGGUGUAAUCUGUCUUCAACUCAGUUCAAGAAUACAAUGGGCAACUGUAUGCUUUUCCUCACCUAGAAUGGAUGAAAGAUAAAGGAUGAAAAAUACAUGUUCAAAGGCUGACUUCUUUUCUUACAAGCCAUUCCUUUACUAUAUUACAUAAUAUAUUAAAAAGAAAAAAUCAUAUAUACAUGAAUAUAAAAUGCAAUCUAACAUUCAUUGGAAUUACCCAUUUACAAUCUAUCGUGCAAAUACAUCUAAUCCAACCUUUCUUCCUUGGAUCUAUGUAUAUAUACAUUUAUAUAUAUGUAUAUAUGUACAUUUAUCUAUGUACACUAUGUAAAAGUUUAUCUAUGUAAAAGUAAAAUCACAUUCAACAUAAUUCAGUUCUAAAAAGGGAUAAAAGAAGCCGGCAAAUGGUAGUGGUAAUGCUAAUUCCUUGACUGAAUUGCCAUGAAGGAGUAAAAGGGAAAAGAAAUGUUCCAAUUGUUGUUUAAAGUGAAGGGCAAACGCUACCCUGUUUAAAUUCCCACAUUUUGCAAGAAAGUACAUAAUAUAAUGUGUGUACUAUGAUAUGAUAAUGAUAAUUUCCAUAAAGAGCACGAAAGUCAAACUCGCGGCCCACGGGCCACGUCCGCCCCGCUGCAGGAGUGUGAAGAAUUACAGAAAUUCCCAUGCAUGUGCAUG